GUUUGUAUGACACUUGUAUGCCCCACCAUGUGUGAAUCCCUUGCAAACAACUGCAGUGCUUGGAGACAGAAAGUUCAUGUAUCCAAGCGGUCAUUUCUCCUCUAGAUCACAUCCUCUAGACUGCUGGGAAGAGCACAGAGAAAAGAAAUGCCAUGUUGCAUCUGCAACCAUUAAACCAGAUUCCUUCAUCUGCCCCAGCUGCAAUAAAACAUGUCUCUCCUAUAUCGGUCUCUACAGCCACAGCAGGCACUGUAACUUUCCAGCAGUUUGACUUUACGCCUGAUAGUGCAUUCUUCCAUUGUCUCCCCAGACAGACGGAUACCAGCAACUGUGUGCCGCUUCCUCACAGCCUUCUCUAAGCAGUUGUACAGGGGACCCAAUAGCAUAAGACUAAAAAUGGGUUAAACCUUUAAAAUCAGACCUCAAU